rnacentral:rRNA from 1 species
UACAGAGGGUGCGAGCGUUAAUCGGAAUUACUGGGCGUAAAGCGUGCGUAGACGGUAGCGUAAGUCAGAUGUGAAAGCCCCGGGCUCAACCUGGGAAUUGCAUUUGAGACUGCUCUGCUCGGGUGCGGGAGAGGGAAGCGGAAUUUCCGGUGUAGCGGUGAAAUGCGUAGAUAUCGGAAGGAACACCAGUGGCGAAAGCGGCUUCCUGGUCCGACACCGACGUUCAGGCACGAAAGCGUGGGGAGCAAACAGG